UACGUAGGGGGGCAAGCGUUGUCCGGAAUCAUUGGGCGUAAAGAGCGUGUAGGCGGCCCGGUAAGUCUGUUGUGAAAGUCCAGGGCUCAACCCUGGAAUGCCGAUGGAUACUGCCGGACUAGAGUUCGGAAGAGGCGAGUGGAAUUCCCGGUGUAGCGGUGAAAUGCGCAGAUAUCGGGAGGAACACCUAUGGCGAAGGCAGCUCGCUGGGACGUUACUGACGCUGAGACGCGAAAGCGUGGGGGAGCAAACAGG
rnacentral:rRNA from 1 species